CCGUCACAACGGCUUCCUGGCGUGGCGGAUAAUUGCACAAUGGAGCA
rnacentral:ncRNA from 1 species